GUUUAUAUUUGGAACUGCUUCUUCAGCUCACCAGUUUGAGGGAGCUGCAGAUGAAGGAAACAAAGGAGAUAGCAUAUGGGAUACUUUCUCAAGGAUACCAGGGAGAAUCGUGGAUUUCAGUAACGCAGACAUGGCAGUGGAUCAAUACCACCAAUUUCAAGUG